UAUGGCCAUAUCAGGUUGAAACACUUGUUCUUAUAUGAUCACCAAUGUUAAGCAACAUUGAACCUGGUCAGUAAUUAGAAGGGUGACCACUUGAGAAUACUAGGUGCUAUA